rnacentral:rRNA from 1 species
UGGGGAAUAUUGGACAAUGGGCGAAAGCCUGAUCCAGCCAUGCCGCGUGUGUGAAGAAGGUCUUCGGAUUGUAAAGCACUUUAAGUUGGGAGGAAGGGCAGUAAGCGAAUACCUUGCUGUUUUGACGUUACCGACAGAAUAAGCACCGGUUAACUCUGUGCCAGCAGCCGCGGUAAUACAGAGGGUGCAAGCGUUAAUCGGAAUUACUGGGCGUAAAGCGCGCGGAGGUGGUUCGUUAAGUUGAAUGUGAAAGCCCCGGGCUCAACCUGGGAACUGCAUCGAAAACUGGCGAGCUAGAGUAGAGCAGAGGGUGGUGGAAUUUCCUGUGUAGCGGUGAAAUGCGUAGAUAUAGGAAGGAACACCAGUGGCGAAGGCGACCACCUGGGCUCAUACUGACACUGAGGUGCGAAAGCGUGGGGAGCAAACAGG